UCUCCACGUGGUCUAGUGGUUACGAUAUCUGGCUUUCAUCCAGAAGGCCCGGGUUCGAGUUCCGGCGUGGGAA